GCUACAACGUAGGGGUCCCGUCCGGGAAGCGGACGGGUGAGAGAGACCCUCCGAACCUGAUGCGGAUAAUGCCGCCGUAGGGAAGCGUUGCGUGCCGGUCC
rnacentral:ncRNA from 2 species